GUCUUCGAUCUGUUGCGGACAGAUGUAAUGGAUGUGGCUGUCAAACCCGCCGGCGGUCAGGAUGCGGCCUUCGCCCGCGAUCACCUCUGUGCCGGGGCCGACAAUAAUGUCCACGCCGGGCUGUGUGUCGGGGUUGCCCGCCUUGCCGAUUUUAUGAAUGCGGCCGUCUUUCAGCGCCACAUCGGCCUUGUAGAUGCCGGUCCAGUCGAGGAUCAGCGCAUUGGUGAUCACCGUGUCCACGGCACCCGCCGCACGGGUGGUCUGGGCCUGACCCAUGCCAUCGCGGAU
rnacentral:sRNA from 1 species